CUUGAAGUCUUUGAAAUUCAAAGCCAAAACUCUAGGACUGAACUACUGUUAAGUUUCAAUCCUCCUUCCAUGGUAGUAUGUUGGCUAGUGGGUGGAAGGAAGGAAGAAUGAAGAAAAGUAGCAAUCCAACAAUUCUUGGCUUGAAUGAUUGAUGAGUUUGAAAUCUCUAUAUUAGCUUUUCUGAUGUGGCAUACCCUUAAGACUUUUUUCCUCAAGAGCUGUAUAUAAUGGGCCAAUAAAAGGAGAGUAGUGGCAAGAUAUAUGGCAGUUUGGUUGCAGGAGCUGAAGGGAAAAAAUGGAAUUUGGUUUGUUGACCAAAAAUGAUUAUCUUUUAGCUUUAUUGUGGAUUAAAGGUCAUGACAGGAAUUUAUUUUCCCCAAGUGUUGAGAAACCCUAUGGAUUUAGUGCAUGCGCGUUAGGUAAUUCGGGUCCCACUCUCCACCCUUUCUUUCUUUGAUUUUAUGCAUUUGUCUUCCUCUCUUUACCCUCACACAAAUCAUGUUGCUAUUAAACUCUAUUAAAGUGCCAAGAAAGUUUCAGAUGUGUGGAAAUACUGUAGAGAAGCAUGGUGUCUCACCAUGAAUUGUUGGGGUCCACACUUGAUCAAAUAAUUUCUUCGCUUGGAAGUUUUCACACGUGAGUGUUGGUGGUGGCUAUGGUACUUCUACAGUAUGUUGUGACAUCUCACAUGUGACCUUCAGUAAAGUCCUUGGAACCCAAGAUGGUGUUUGUCAGCUUUGUGAACUCAUUACUAGUUGUGAGUGUGAGUUUGGUGUAUAUCAAUAGAAUGGUAGUGAUUGAGUUGAAUGUAUUUUUUAUCUUGGCUGUUUUUUUCUUUUGUUCUUC
rnacentral:misc_RNA from 1 species